UACGUAGGUGACAAGCGUUGUCCGGAUUUACUGGGCGUAAAGAGCGCGCAGGCGGUCGAUCAAGUCGAGUGUGAAAGCCCCCGGCUCAACUGGGGAGGGUCAUUCGAUACUGAUCGACUCGAAGGCAGGAGAGGGUAGUGGAAUUCCCGGUGUAGUGGUGAAAUGCGCAGAUAUCGGGAGGAACACCGGUGGCGAAGGCGGCAUCCUGGACCGGCAUUGACGCUGAGGCGCGAAAGCCAGGGGAGCAAACGGG
rnacentral:rRNA from 1 species